AUUGGGAUGAUGAGGAAGAUGGUGAAUGGACUGCCCCGACCAUUGCCAACCCUGAGUACAAGGGUCCGUGGAAGCCCAAGAAAAUUAAGAACCCUAACUACAAGGGCAAGUGGAAGGCACCAAUGAUUGACAACCCAGAUUUCAAGGAUGACACAGAUCUCUAUGUUUACCCCAACUUGAAGUAUGUUGGUAUUGAAUUGUG
rnacentral:misc_RNA from 1 species